rnacentral:rRNA from 1 species
UGAUCAGUGGCGAACGGGUGAGUAACACGUGAGCAAUCUGCCCCUGACUCUGGGAUAACUUCSGGAAAUCGGAGCUAAUACCGGAUAUGACACGCACAGGCAUCUGUAGCGUGUGGAAAGAAUUUUGGUCAGGGAUGAGCUCGCGGCCUAUCAGCUUGUUGGUGGGGUAAUGGCCCACCAAGGCGACGACGGGUAGCCGGCCUGAGAGGGCGACCGGCCACAUUGGGACUGAGACACGGCCCAGACUCCUACGGGAGGCAGCAGUGGGGAAUAUUGCACAAUGGGCGAAAGCCUGAUGCAGCGACGCCGCGUGAGGGAUGAAGGCCUUCGGGUUGUAAACCUCUUUCAGCAGGGAAGAAGCGAAAGUGACGGUACCUGCAGAAGAAGCGCCGGCUAACUACGUGCCAGCAGCCGCGGUAAUACGUAGGGCGCAAGCGUUGUCCGGAAUUAUUGGGCGUAAAGAGCUCGUAGGCGGUUUGUCGCGUCUGCUGUGAAAACCCGAGGCUCAACCUCGGGCCUGCAGUGGGUACGGGCAGACUAGAGUGUGGUAGGGGAGACCGGAAUUCCUGGUGUAGCGGUGGAAUGCGCAGAUAUCAGGAGGAACACCGAUGGCGAAGGCAGGUCUCUGGGCCACAACUGACGCUGAGGAGCGAAAGCAUGGGGAGCGAACAGGAUUAGAUACCCUGGUAGUCCAUGCCGUAAACGUUGGGCACUAGGUGUGGGGCUCAUUCCACGAGUUCCGUGCC